rnacentral:lncRNA from 1 species
UCUGCUCUUCGCAAUAAAUCUUGCUGCUGCUCAUUCUUUGGGUCGCCGCCGCCUUUUAUGAGUUGUAGCACUCACCGCGAAGGUCUGCAGCUUCACUCCUGAAGCCAGCUAGAGCCAGCGAGACCACGAACCCACUGGGAGGGAUGAACAACUCCGGACUCGCCACCUUUAUGAACUGUUAACACUCACAGCGAAGGUCUGCAGCUUCACUCCUGAAGCCAGCGAGACCACAAACCCACUAGGAGGAAUGCACAACUCCUGAUGCCCUGCCUUUAAAAGCUGUAACGGUCACUGCGAAGGUCUGCGGCUUCAUUCCUGAAGUCAGCGAAACCACGAACCCACCUGAAGGAAGAAACUCCGGACACAUCCGAACAUCAGAAGGAACAAACUCUGGACACACCAUCUUUAACUGUAACACUCACCACGAGGGUCCGCAGCUUCAUUCUUAAAGUCAGCGAGACCAAGAACCCACCAAUUCCGGACACGCAAGUAUUCGUAACGACCACCUUAGAUAUUGCUGGCCAGCUCAUGAAUUGUGGCUUGUGGUCCAGCUAAUCUUUCCUAGUCUAUUCAGCUAUGGCCAGAGAAGAUGUGCUUAACUUGUGGAGCCUUACUGUUUCUCUAAGGGACAUUCUUCUACAUAAUGUUGCGUCAGUAGAAUAAUUUUCUCACCAAGUGAUAGGCUAGGUAGGUCAGUAAAUCCUCUCCUACACCGUAGUUAUUUGCUUUAAGCCAACUUGAAGUGAACUUCUGUCUCUUCUUUAAUCUGGAGAAUCUUACGUCUUCAAGCCCUGUUCACACCGCUUGUCCCAUUAGAAUA